UACGUAGGGUGCGAGCGUUGUCCGGAAUUAUUGGGCGUAAAGGGCUCGUAGGCGGUUUGUCGCGUCGGGAGUGAAAACACCGGGCUUAACUCGGUGCUUGCUUUCGAUACGGGGCAGACUAGAGGCAUGCAGGGGGAGAACGGAAUUCCUGGUGUAGCGGUGAAAUGCGCAGAUAUCAGGAGGAACACCGGUGGCGAAGGCGGUUCUCUGGGCAUGUCCUGACGUGAGGAGCGAAAGUGUGGGGGAGCGAACAGG
rnacentral:rRNA from 1 species